rnacentral:tRNA from 1 species
UCCCUUGUGGCUCAGAUGGUAAAGCAUCUGCCUACAAUGUAGGAGACCCAGGUUCUAUCCCUGGGUUGAGAA